rnacentral:rRNA from 1 species
AAUCCCUUUAUGAGGAUCCAUUAGAGGGCAAGUCUGGUGCCAACAACUGCGGUAAUUCCAGCUCCAAUAGCGUAUAUUUAAGUUGCUGCAGUUAAAAAGCUUGUAGUUGGAUCUUUGGUCGUAAAGGUCGGUCCACCUACUCGGUGUGCACCUGCCCUUCCGUCCCUUUUUUCGGCAGCGUGCUCCUGACCUUAAUUGGUUGGGUCACGGCUCCGGUGCUGUUACUUUGAAAAUAUUAGAGUGCUCAAAGCAAGAUUAUGCUCUGAAUACAUUAGCAUGGAAUAACGUGAUAGGAGUCUGGUCCUAUUGUGUGUUGGCCUUCGGGACCGGAGUAAUGAUUAAUAGGGACUGUCGGGGGCAUUCGUAUUUCAUUGUCAGAGGUGAAAUUCUUGGAUUUAUGAAAGACGGACCACUGCGAAAGCAUUUGCCAAGGAUGUUUUCAUAAUCAAGAAUGAAAGUUGGGGGCUCGAAGACGAUCAGAUAUCGUCCUAGUCUCAACCAUAAACGAUACCGACCAGGGAUCAACGGAUGUUGCUCUAAGGACUCCGCCAGCACCUUCUGAGUAAUCAUAGUGUUUGGGUUCCGGGGGGAGUAUGGUCGCAAGGCUGAAACUUAAAGGAAUUGAUGGAAGGGCACCACCAGGAGUGGAGCCUGCGGCUUAAUUUGACUCAACACGGGGAAACUUACCAAGUCCAGACAUAGAAAGGAUUGACAGAUUGAGAGCUCUUUCUUGAUUGUAAGGGUGGUGGUACAUGGCCGUUCUUAGUUGGUGGAGCGAUUUGUCUGGUUAAUUCCGAUAAUGAACGAGACCUUAGCCUGCCAACUAGUUGCACGGAGGUUCCCCUUCGCGGCCAGCUUCUUAGAGGGACUAUGGCCGUUUAGGCCAUGGAAGUUUAAGGCAAUAACAGGUCUGUGAUGCCCUUAGAUGUUCUGGGCCGCACACACGCUACACUGAUGCAGCAAACGAGAUUUUCUUCCUGGUUGGAGAGGAUCGGUAAAUCUUCUCAAAUUGCAUCGUGAUGGGGAUAGACCAUUGCAAUUAUUGGUCUUCAACGAGGAAUUCCUAGUAAGCGUGUGUCAUCAACUCGUGUUGACUACGUCCCUGCCCUUUGUACACACCGCCCGUCGCUCCUACCGAUUGAAUGAUCCGGUGAGGUUUUCGGAUUGCGUCGACGAUGGUGGUUCGCCGCCAUCGACGUCAUGAGAAGUUCAUUGAACCUUAUCAUUUACAGGAAGGAGAAGUCGUAACAAGGUUACCGUAGGUGAACUUGCGGUAG